rnacentral:lncRNA from 1 species
AAGAGCUGGAGGGCAGCUCAGGUGGGCCACACAGCUUGGGGGGUCCACGUGGGCAGAGGGCGGGGAGACUGAGCCCAGCUGCUGACCCCAGAGCUGUGCCUUCCACCCUCAGGUAUCCCCGUCCCGGCCCUAAGGACAUGUGCUCCAGUGGAGGAGAAGCCUGUGCAAGUAGAAAGGUCUUUCUUUUCUUUUUUUUUUUUCUCUCCUUUCUUCACUUGACUCUCUGACAGCUUUUACAAUUCUAUUUUCCUGACCUGCUUUUGAGUUUUACCAGGUUCUGACUUUGAGCUUUACCUAUAAGUACAUGGAAUCAGGGAACAAACAAACAAACAAAAGAAUAAAAAAAAGAAGCGGGUUCGGACUUGUAUAUCCAUAUGCACAGAAAAGCACCAGAAUCUGUCAAUUCCAACACACUCUUUCUAGCACCACGUCCUCCCCGUAUUCCGCGCAGUCCAGCUCCGGCUCCGGCUCCCCCGCCGCCAGGCGCAGGCCCGCGGGGGCUCCAGGGCCCCAACCUGCGGACCUCACGGCUGCGCCCCGGCUCCAGCGCGCUCAGUUCUUGCGCUGCAAGAGACCGACGUGCGCUCAUGUAUGAAGAGCCCAGCGGGGUCGGGAGCACCUGCGGGCCCAGCUCCGGGGGGCGGCUCACGGGGGAAGAGCCCAGCGCUGGAGGAGCAGCGGGGUCGGGAGCACCUGCGGGUCCAGCUCCGGGGGAGGGGCUCACGGGGGAAGAGCCCAGCGCUGGAGGAGCAGCGGGGUCGGGAGCACCUGCGGGCCCAGCUCCGGGGAGGGGGGUCACGGGGGAAGAGCCCAGCGCUGGAGGAGCAGCGGGGUCGGGAGCACCUGCGGGCCCGGCUCCCGGGGGAGGGGGGUCACGGGGGAAGAGCCCAGCGCUGGAGGAGCAGCGGGGUCGGGAGCACCUGCGGGCCCGGCUCCCGGGGGAGGGGGGUGUCA